AAAUUGCGUGCACCUGGCAUUCCAGGUGUAGAUCCAGCUGUGAAUCUGUACCUGUUCUGACCGACGAAUAUAAUGAAAACCGACCGCUCUCUGGUACUCGAUGAACCACCGAAGGUUAAUAGGAAUCAGCUGACUUGGUGUCUGGUUGUUGAGAACUAAUCCUGGGCACACAUUUCCCUCGUGGUUCGACUGGUGUGUACCUAUGUACGUGUGUGCAGGCACGCCGCCUCCGGCAUGGGCGAAUUGAGCAGGCACCAAUCUAAACCUAGAUGCCGUAUUCUUCGAAUUUCCACUCUCAGUCAAUAACUGAUGCCAUUAGUGCAUGCACGCCGCCGCCUAUGCGGGUCGUUUUGUUUUUUGUGUGUUUGUGCUGUGUUUUUAUUUUUCCUUUUUGAGCUCGUUAUGUAAUUCGAGUCCCGCUCUCCCUUUUGUUGUCAACCGGACGGUUUGACGUCAUCACCCAGCUCCGGGAAGGGCUGAGCGGCUCGCGGCUGCUGCCUCCAGACCAGCUAACGGACGAAAACAAACGGCAGCGGCGCUUUAGCUUAGCUGCCCGCUCACCGAAGAAACGGGGCAGAAGGCGACACGGGUCAUUUGUACUGUCGCACGUCUUGAUGUGUGCAGAUAAGGUAGGGCGCGUUCUGAACUGAGCCUUUUAUGCAACUCGCCCUGCUCACCAGGCACGACGAUGUCCGACGCUGCUAGCACUACUUCUACAGACAACAACGGAGACUCCGGGCUAAACGGGUCCUGGGUGGAGUUGGAGAUGAACAGAGGUGCAGCUGGCUCAGCCCAGUCAUCUUCCACAGGCGGCCCGGCCCCAGGCCUACUGCCCCUCCCUCAGGUGGAGGAAGAGGAGGCCAUGGUGGGGGGCCUUGAGCACGUCCCGUCCUCGUCCUCGAUCCACAAUGGAGACAUGGAGAAGAUCCUGUUGGAUGCCCAGCACGAGUCGAGCCGCAGCAACUCCUCCUGCGACAGCCCUCCGCGGCCCCACAGUCCCCAAGAUGAUGGACAGAUCAUCUUCGAUGUAGACGUGACCAGCAGAAGAGACAGCCAGUCAGAAGAGGACAUCUUGGACAAAGAGAGGGACAUGGACAUCCUAAUGAAGGACGCAGAUUGGGUUGCUGACUGGUCUAGUCGACCGGAAAACAUUCCCCCCAAGGAGUUUCAUUUCCGUCACCCCCGACGCUCAGUAACGCUCAGCAUGAGGAAGACCGGGGCCAUGAAGAAAGGAGGCAUCUUCUCCGCUGAGUUCCUCAAAGUCUUCAUCCCCUCGCUGCUAUUAUCACACAUCCUCGCUCUGGGGCUGGGGUAAGAAACCAACACCACAGAUCACCUGCACAGUCAUGAUGUCACUGAGUGAGAAAAGAGUCUAUAUCGGCAAGAGGUUGACCACCCCACCAGCCAGCUCUUUCUGAAGCCGAGACUGAAGAAAAGUGCCUGAGAAGUGGCCAUGAGUUGUUGGAGAAAGUUUAGCUGUCGUGAGAAGAACGAACGCCCGUCCCUCUCCCUCUGCCUGCCCCUGCUCCCGCUCCUCGUCCCUGAGAUAUGACAUGUUCUCGGGAGGAAUGCAUAUGCCUUUUCCUCUUCCCCCCCUACCUUCCCCACCCUUUUUUCUUGAUUGGCUGUUCUGACUAUCUGUGGAUUACCCCCCUCCCAUAUCCUUCACUCAUUUGUAUAAGCUUUUCAAAGAAUGAAUAAGGUCAUAUUUCCCUUUCCUCAGCGAUUGUGUUGCAAUGUUUGUAAUGGGUGGGUUUUCAGGGAGGGUCGCAGCAUUAAACCAAACUCUUCUACCACACACACUGCCCCGUUGCCCUUUGAUCAUCUGACAACAAGGGAGGACUGUCCAGUUUUAGAACUGACCACGGAUUGUGCCACCUACACGCGUAGCCCAACACUCGACCCUGAAAGGGUUCGACCAAAUUCAGAGUUGGCUACGCGAACUGAAAAUGUGAUCAUGCCUUUUUGAAAGUAGCCAUUUUGUUCAUUUUCUUUUAGGUAGUAUUGCCUUUUUUCUUUUUAAAAAAAAAUUAUUUCACAACAGUGGUGGUUUAUUGAGAAGUGGUAAUGAAAGGCGUUACCAUAGUGGCCAUCCCAAACCACACGCGCUCAUGAAUUGCACUGGGGGAGUCUCUGACUGUCUGCCAGAAAAGAGAGAUUUAUGUGACACUUUUUCACCUUUUCUGUGAUGGAAAGUAGAAAUUAGAAUCAUUAUAAUUCUGUAGCUGAAUGAAUAUUUUGCAAAGUGACAAUAACUGGAAACCAGGGUGCAGAUGUGUGUUGCGCAGGCAGGCAGUGUGUCCCUCUACGUGUGUACACUAACAGUAUUUUGUGGUUGGGUCUUGGGUACAGCGCUGUAUGGUCCAGAAAGGUUCCAUUGUCUGUCCAAACUGCCUGUGUCCAUGUUGUCCUUCCAAUGAGCCUCAUGGUCUGUCUGCAACAUAUCGUAGACCUGGUUCGAUCCCGCUUACUUUCACUCCAGACUGGGCUGGAUAUUACAUGGGACUGUGCUGAUUGUUUCCUUUUAGUGUGGAUUUUAAGUAAUCAGGAAGGAUUUGGUACCAAAAAGGUUGAAAACAUGAGAGAUAAAUAGGUACGGACAUUUGUUUUGAUAAUGUUUGGCUGAUUUUAUUUACAAAGGUAAAAGGUGUUUUCAUAAAAAACUAGAAGUUAAAUAUUGCACUUUUACUGACUAUUAUACAAGAAAUUUAAUUUUCAAGACAUUAGGAUAAUUAUUAUUAGAGCUAUUCAUUAUUGAGGUAAAACUGUCCAGUAGUAGCCAGCCCUGUGUCCUAACACUCCAUCACGUUUGCCAAAAUUUCAAAAAAAAACAGGGAGAAAUAAUUAUUCAAGCUGCUGAUGAAUGGAACUGACUCCAGGGUCGCUCUGAGUUUGGACAGGCUGAAGGUACCUGGUGGUCAUCGUACAUUUGUUUGUUUUCCUCGAAAAACUCUAAGCACAGGCACUUGGCUAGCAUGUUCAGUAAGGUUGUGUCCUUACACAGCAUGAUUACAAAGCUUGAUAUCAGACAUCAGCUUCACUGCAGUAUCUCUGAGGUUGGACUGUGGUCGAUUUUGUACAGAGGGCCCUUUCGUAGCCAGACCUGGUCCAAAUAAUAUUUGAUGUAGAAGUUCAGAUCUUUUCAAACAGCAGAUCUCUAGAAGUUCUUGCAUGACAUAUGAUUUUUUUUGCAGCAGACUUAUUACUUGCACAACUAACAAAUUUCUGGAGAUCUGUUGUGCCGUGAGACAGCAGGAUUUGUCCCACCAGCACCCUGUGAAGGAAGUAUUUUCAUACAAUCAGGAGUAAUUAAACUCUUUAGAGCAACUGUAGUUGUUCAUUUUUUCCUCUAAACAGCUCAUUGCAGAAUAGAGUACAAGUUGUGACAUACAGAACAAUACAAUGAGUGUCAGAGUUACAUGGAACCUGCAACAUCGUAUUUUUGACACUGAAAGUCAAGGACACUGUCGACGACAAAAAUGGACGUUGCCUUGGUCCCUUUUCAAGAAAUUUCACUGUCAAGUGUCAUUGAGCAAGAAAAGAAUAGACAAAGAGCUUUAAUAAAGCAAACAAAAGAAGUAACCUCUGUCUGCGUAGAGAGAAUUUUUAGUUUGUUGUGAGUACUUCAUCAGUCCGUCGUUUGUUGACCGUACUUACAAGCUAAAGAUGGGAAAGUAUCUGUAAAAACUGAGUUUACUGUACUUUUCCUCUCGUCGACAGCUGCCUGAUUCAUUAACAGAAAUACUUUGUGACCUCGCAGGUUGACUCAGGGCGCUGUCUUCUUUUUUAACGUCUUAUAACAGAAUAAUUAACUACCAGCAGUGACCACAUUAGGGAGUUGACUUUGCUCUCAUUGUCUCCAUUUCAGCCACAGAGAUACUGCACUGUUAUUUUGUGCGACGUCCAUGUUUCUGCCCAUGUUUGUAUGUGCAGCAUUAGAAAUUGUGGAUUGUUCCUUGCUGUCUGUUUUUGUUUUUAAUUUUUUUCUGAUGUUGGUGGAAGAUUGUGAACGCACAGAGCGGGAGUGAAGACAUGGAUCGUGUUUAAAAAGUGUGAAAAUAAAACCGUGUUGUUGAUGGCAGGGCCUGAUGUGCAUAGGAAAUGGAAGGUGUGAAAAGAGAUUCCCCCUAGACUGCGAUGGUCUAACAUUAGUUAUUGUAAUGAUGCAUUUGCUUUAAUUUUCUUUUUCCCACUACAUUUGGAAAAAUUGAUAAAGAUUUUGUCAUUAAACAUUACCUGAAUGAAGCUAUUCUGUGUGCACGUU